GUGACCCUGGGAUCUUGUUAGAAAUGCAGACUCUGAUUCAGUAGGUUAAGGACAUGGACUGUGAUUCUGCAUUUCUAACAAGCCCCCAGGUGAUGCUAA
rnacentral:pre_miRNA from 1 species